CAGCUACUGCCUAGAAGCUCCCUCCCUCCAUCAUGUGUCCCCCCGCUCUAUGGAAGAUGGGAAACAACCUGCAAAGCUGAAAUAUUGGCUAAUGGCUCAGGCCAGAAGAGGAAAAUGUGUUACACUGACUCGUGACCAGUCAGCCUAAAUCUAAUGAUAACAGACUGGACUGUUGGAAAAGAAGAAAGCUGUGCCCCCAAGUUAGGACAACUAACCUAACCAGACCAUUGCUGAGGGUAGGUAGGAAGAAGAAGAGCUUGAUAGCCAGGUGAAAUGGGCAUCUCCUACCACGGUAGCCUGCUGUAUCCUUGCGACCAGCUGACCCAUCUUUAAAACAGUCUAGAUAGAUUUACCUGCAUCCAUUUUGCCUAAAGAAUAAUAACUUUGCAGGAUAAUUCAAACUAUCUUCCAGCUAGGAACCAAAGACUCAGAAGAUGAUGCCCUGCUUUCUUUAUUCCUGACAGCAGAGUGAGCGAGAGAGAGGGCUAAACAACAGAGAGGAUGAUUUAAUUAAAGUGACUUUGAUUGUUUCAUUGUUCUAAAAUCACAGACCUACAGCUGCUGUAUUUCCGUACUUGGAUACUGGAGUCACCUUAUGGUCCCUAAUCAAAACUGCCUUUGUUAAAAGUUGCUAUUCCCCUGCUGAAGGUGAUGUAAUCUGGAAGACAUGGGGAGACUGG